UACGUAGGGGGCUAGCGUUGUCCGGAUUUACUGGGCGUAAAGCGCGCGCAGGCGGUCGUUCAAGUCGAGUGUGAAAGCCCCCGGCUCAACUGGGGAGGGUCACUCGAUACUGAUCGACUUGAAGGCAGAAGAGGGAAGCGGAAUUCCCGGUGUAGUGGUGAAAUGCGUAGAUAUCGGGAGGAACACCAGUGGCGAAGGCGGCUUUCUGGUCUGUUCUUGACGCUGAGGCGCGAAAGCUAGGGUAGCAAACGG
rnacentral:rRNA from 1 species